rnacentral:lncRNA from 1 species
AUGGCUCCUCCUCUUGCCAGGCUCCUUGACACGGUGCGAUCUGGAAGCCGAGGAAUGCGGCUGCGGGGGCAGCGGAGCGGUCUGCGGGGCGUGUGCGCGGCGGAGGGGGGCCCACAGCGGAGCAAUGUGCCCGUGGGUAGCUGGUGUGCACGGAGGAGGGAGAGCAGAGCAACAUGCGGCGUGUGCGCGCGGGGAGGGGAGCAGGAAGCGGAGCAAUGCGAGAGGGCAGCGUAUGCGGCGGGGAGACAGCAGAGCAGUCUGCAGGCUUUGUGCUCUGGGCCGGGCAGCAGAGCGAUGUGCAAGGGGGUAGAUUAUGCACGAAGGAGGGGGGAGGGAGAGGAGGGGACAGCGACACGGGCAGCAGAGCGGUGUGCAAGGGGGAAGCGUGCAUGCUCUGCGGGGAGGCACCGGGACGCGGCUUUUGUGGAGGCGGGGCCCUCUUUCUUCUUGCGCUCUUCAGAGACCUCUGAACUCAGUGAUUUAUUUGCCACAGACUGGGCUGCAGGUCGGACUCAUCGUCUUCUCUGCAAGGGGCUGAAGGGGACAGUCCUUGUCCCUUUCCCGGCCUCUCAGCUCCGUCUCUCCCUUGUAAUUGUCCCUGUGUAGUCCCGCGCACAGAUGAGACACUCGGACUACGCCGUCCCUUCCCUCCAGCCCCGCGAGAUGGGGCCGAGUCUCUCCUGAUGUGCUGCCUGCACCGCGUGACUGUUCUCGUUUCUCGCUUUGAGAUAUAAAUAUAUACAUGCAUAUAUAUAUAUAUUUGUAUAUGUGUACACACACACAUACACACGCAUACACAUCUGUGUGUGUGAAUCUAUGCAGCCUCAGAUUGCUGAAACUUUUAUUCAUCAUCGCUUCUUGCUUGUGUUUCCUCUGUAAGAUUCACAGCUUCGCAGGAUCUAAGGGAAGCCGAGUGGGGAACGCAGAAAAGUCUAUCCUUGCCUGCUUUUGUGUUUCUGAGCCAGAAUGAGCUGCAGCCCUGUUUGACCCUUACACAGGUAUAAAGUGGGGAGGGUUUUUAAUUUCAAUACAUACCGAGUGACCUGACACACUCAGUUAAACUAUUCAUAGGACUACAAAUGUGAACUGACUUCCCCUGCAUUAUGUCCACCACAACUCACUUGGCGCUUGGAAACAGAUACUACAGAUACAUUACGAACACUGUAUUAUUCCAUAGCAAAAGCGACCUAGGCAAGCAAGUGAAACUGCCGGUGCCAAUCUCUCAGUGUAUCCUUUAAAAUAUUUCGCAAGGCUUUCUAAAAGAGAUCGAACUUUGUUGCCUUCUAAAUUGUAGCAGCAAUAAUAACGGUGGUGGUGAUAGUGUAGCACAUGAGAAAUGGAUAUAAAAAUGGUCUGAUCUAGAGAAGACCCAGGUGCUGGACGCUGCCACCCAGAGCUGUGCAUUUUCCGCCUGAUGUCAUGUUGCUGCCAUGGGAGUACGGAGGUUCUGGUGGUGGUGUUUGAAAGUAACCUACGUUUAAUAUUUAUCACUUUCCUUCCUGCUCUGAAAACGGAAUGAAAGCCCUGCUCUCAGCAAUUUUUUGUCGGAGCAGCCUGAUUUCUCCCAUUAACUCAAGCAAGGCUUCCCACGGGGAGGAGAGGGAGA